AUAAGAUAAUUCCAACGAAUGCGAGGCAGGAUCUACGGAAGGUAAUUUUAAAAAUCCAAUCGUAGAAUUGAAAAACGAGCAUUGCGCCCAUAUUAAAAUAUUUAAAAAGCCACCAACAAUAAAACUUAAAAACAAACAAAAACGAAAUCUCCGUAUUUGUAUACCUAAAAUUUUCGAAAAAAUAAACAAAAAAUUCUACGGCUUCAAAAUAAAACAAAAAAUUUAAAAUAAAUGUCAUCGACACCUUCAAAAAAUGCCAUUUGAUAUUCAUCAUCAAAUAAUGAACAAUUUUAAAAUAAGAUUCUACUUAUCGAGCAAAAAUUUUGUCAAUUUCAUCACCAGAGAUUUUAUCUUCGGCUGUUCGAGUCCGUAUGAAGUUGAUCAUCAAUAUUAACUUCUUUUCUCGAUCAGCCUAGAUAGCUGUGUAGUGUCGGUAGCGAUUGUCUCAAUUGGCUAAGAAUAACACUACGGACCGCCUGUUCCGGUGGUAAGAAUCCACCCACAGGUGACCCCUAAUAAAUGGUGUGAUGCGGCUUUAUGCUUACCGUGCCUAGGAAUGAAUGGCUAGGGGGGUCUAAUAAAAACCUAACCGCUAACGGAGCCUGUGGAGUACCAGGGCGCCCUCCACAGUAUGUAGCCCUUACCAGUCUUCAAAAUUUCCUUUGCAUUGCAUUGCAUUGAUCCAAAAAACUAGGAGCAGGAGAAUGCGCGCUCCUUAUUUUUCAAAUCAGCAUUGCCAUGACUUGUGCCUAUCAUUUCGAUGAAAAUACUGCAUCAUUGAUGCAAAUCAUUUAUCAAAUCCUCACACUAGCAGAAUGAAGAAAAGCGUUACGAGAGCUGGCAAACAUAUAUGGUGGUAGCUAGGAUCCUAUGGUGGUUGGCCUAGUAACCAGCAACGUUGUGUUGGUGGCAGCUGAAAAUCUUUAUUGACACCGAAGCUUUCUCACUUGCGGUUGAAGUUGAAGUUAAGUUAGCAUUUGAAUAAAUCGGCUUUGAAUUGAACUUUGGAUCGAUGGAUCGAAGAUUGGCAUUGGACAUACAAACAACCACCCCACUUGUUGACAGUUCGUUAACCGCUUCUGGCAGAUCCCUUCCCGCAUCAUGUAUUAACGAGUUCGGGCGUUUGACCCAAGUCCCAACCUGUUUUUUGAGGCCGCCAAUAGUUAUUAUCAUUAGAAUACAGAUUUUUUUUUGUGCUCCAUUAACAGCAGCAAUAAAUUAUUUAUCUGUGUGAAUCAUA